AGAGAUAAGUGUCACCAUUGCCUGUGGCGGACAAGACUAAUCAGUCACGGGUUGGGGAAAGGGAAAAAAAUGGCUUUCAGCAUAUAUAUUUGUGUUGUGUGGGGUUUGUGGUUGGGGAAAAAUUUUUGAUUUUGUUUGUAGAUUGGGAAGAAAGAGAGGAGAAGCAGGUUAUGAAUGUUAUUUUUUUUGUUUUUAAUUUAUAGGAUAUGAAUGUUAAUUUUUUUUCUUAUUUAUUUUACAAAUGGUUCUUUGUGUUGAUUUUUAUUGAGAUUUUAAUUUAUUUUACAUAUGAAAAGAAAAAAAGAGAGGGUGUUUGAAAGAAAUUCAGCAAGUAUGUUUUUUUUUUUUUGAGUAGAUGCAAAUAAUAAAUUAUCCCAUUAAGUUUUUUUUAUAGGUUUUUUUAACAUUAUUAUUUUUGUUUUUUAUGUACUUAAUAGAUGGUCUCAUUGUGUUUAAAUUUUUUAGAGUUUUUUUAUUUAUUUACUUAACUAGUAUAAAGAAGAUUAUUAUGUCCUAAAAUUUGAAGUUUUAUCAUUUUUAUUUGUAAUCAU
rnacentral:lncRNA from 1 species